rnacentral:rRNA from 1 species
AGUGAACGCUGGCGGUAGGCCUAACACAUGCAAGUCGAACGGCAGCACAGUAAGAGCUUGCUCUUACGGGUGGCGAGUGACGGACGGGUGAGGAAUACAUCGGAAUCUACUUUUUCGUGGGGGAUAACGUAGGGAAACUUACGCUAAUACCGCAUACGACCUACGGGUGAAAGCAGGGGAUCUUCGGACCUUGCGCGAUUGAAUGAGCCGAUGUCGGAUUAGCUAGUUGGCGGGGUAAAGGCCCACCAAGGCGACGAUCCGUAGCUGGUCUGAGAGGAUGAUCAGCCACACUGGAACUGAGACACGGUCCAGACUCCUACGGGAGGCAGCAGUGGGGAAUAUUGGACAAUGGGCGCAAGCCUGAUCCAGCCAUACCGCGUGGGUGAAGAAGGCCUUCGGGUUGUAAAGCCCUUUUGUUGGGAAAGAAAAGCAGCAGGUUAAUACCCCGCUGUUCUGACGGUACCCAAAGAAUAAGCACCGGCUAUCUUCGUG